CGUAGGGUGCGAGCGUUGUCCGGAUUUAUUGGGCGUAAAGGGCGUCGUAGGUGGUUGAUCGCGUCGGAAGUGUAAUCUUGGGGCGUUAACCCUGAGCGUGCUUUUGUAUACGGGUUGACUUGAGGAAGGUAGGGGAGAAUGGAUUCCUGGUGGAGCGGUGGAAUGCGCAGAUAUCAGGAGGAACACCGGUGGCGAAGGCGGUUCUCUGGGCCUUUCCUGAACGCUGAGGAGCGAAAGCGUUGGGGGAGCGAACAGGCUU
rnacentral:rRNA from 1 species